AGUUGGAUAGCUCAGUUGGUAAAGCAUGAGACUCUUUAAGCUCAGGGUCGUGGGUUUGAGCCCCACAUUGGGCGA